GACGAACGCUGGCGGCGUGCCUAAUACAUGCAAGUAGAACGCACCCUUUAUACCUUAGCUUGCUACACCAUAUACUGUGAGUUGCGAACGGGUGAGUAACGCGUAGGUAGCCUGCCUUGUAUCGGGGGAUAACUAUUGGAAACCAUAGCUAAGACCGCAUAAUAUUGAUUAUUCCAUGAUAAUUUAUUGAAAGAUGCUAUUGCAUCACUACCCGAUGGACCUGCGUUGUAUUAGCCAGUAGGUGAGGUAACGCCUCACCUAGGCGACGAGACGUAGCCGCCCUGAGAGGGGGAGAGGCCAAGCUGGGAGUGGGACACGGCCCAGAAUCCUACGAGUGGGAGCCGUACGGAAUCUUCGGCAAUGGACGAAAGUCUGACCGAGCGACGCCGCGUGAGUGAAGAAGGUUGUCGGAUCGUAAAGGUCUGUUGUAAGAGAGGAACGGGUGUGAGAGUGGAAAGUUCACAUAGUGACGGUACCUGACCAGAAAGCGACGGCUAACUACGUG
rnacentral:rRNA from 1 species